rnacentral:rRNA from 1 species
CCUUCAUGAAGCUGGAAUUGCUAGUAAUGGCAGGUCAGCAUACUGCCGUGAAUACGUUCCCGGGCCUUGUACACACCGCCCGUCACACCAUGAGAGUUGGAAAUACCCGAAGCCUGUGAGCUAACUUAAAGAGGCAGCAGUCGAAGGUAGAGCCAAUGAUUGGGGUGAAGUCGUAACAAGGUAAC